GUCGGUUAGCUCAGUGGUUAGGGCUUAGGGCUUGUGACCAAAAGGUCCUGGGUUCGAAUCUCGCUGCAGGCA
rnacentral:tRNA from 1 species